rnacentral:rRNA from 1 species
GACGAACGCUGGCGACGCGCUUAACACAUGCAAGUCGAACGGAAAGGCCUGCUUUCCCUUGUGGAUUGCGGGUACUCGAGUGGCGAACGGGUGAGUAACACGUGAGUGAUCUGCCCCCAACUUGGGUAUAAGCCUGGGAAACUGGGUCUAAUUCCCGAUAGGACUGCAGGGUGGUGCCUGUGGUGGAAAACGAUUUUCUAGUGGUUGGGGAUGAGCUCGCGGCCUAUCAGCUUGUUGGUGGGGUAAUGGCCUACCAAGGCGGCGACGGGUAGCCGGCCGGAGAGGGUGGACGGGCACAUUGGGACUGAGAUACGGCCCAGACUCCUACGGGAGGCAGCAGUGGGGAAUAUUGCACAAUGGGCGGAAGCCUGAUGCAGCGACGCCGCGUGGGGGAUGACGGCCUUCGGGUUGUAAACUCCUUUCGACCGCGAGGAAGCCACCUGGUUGGAAGGGUGGUGACGGUAGUGGUAGAAGAAGCACCGGCUAACUACGUG